rnacentral:rRNA from 1 species
AAAUGAAUAGACGGGGGCCCGCACAAGCGGUGGAGCAUGUGGCUUAAUUCGAUGCAACGCGAAGAACCUUACCCAGGCUUGACAUGGAUGGGACCGGCAGUGAAAGCUGCCUUCUCUUCGGAGCCGAUUCACAGGUGCUGCAUGGCUGUCGUCAGCUCGUGUCGUGAGAUGUUCGGUUAAGUCCGGCAACGAGCGCAACCCUCGUCCUUAGUUGCCAGCGGGUAAAGCCGGGGACUCUAAGGAGACAAGCUGUUUUUAACAGCGGGAAGGUGGGGAUGACGUCAAGUCAGUAUGGCCCUUACGUCUGGGGCUGCACACGUGCUACAAUGCCCGGUACAAUGAGAUGCGAAAUCGCGAGGUGGAGCAAAUCUUUAAAACCGGGCCCAGUUCGGAUUGGAGUCUGCAACUCGACUCCAUGAAGCCGGAAUCGCUAGUAACGGCGUAUCAGCAACGACGCCGUGAAUACGUUCCCGGGCCUUGCACACACCGCCCGU